rnacentral:lncRNA from 1 species
AUAAAAGGCGCUGUAGGAAGCAGAGAGAUAGAGACAUCGUCCCGACGGGGGCUCCAUGGGGGGCGGCCCUGGGCCCUUUGCGAUCUCCGGACUUUUGGACUUAGAAAACUUAGAAAACUCAGAAAACUUGGAACAUCCGAUCUCCGUACUUUCGGACUUAGAGAAAUUAGAGCAUCCGAUCUCCCGACUUUUGGACUUAGAAAACUUGGAACAUCCGAUCUCCGUACUUUCGGACUUAGAGAGAUUAGAACAUCCGAUCUCAGUACUUUCGGACUUAGAAAAAUUAGGACAUCCUCUCUCCAACACGCUACAGAGAUGCGUGUCGUAGCCCGUCGGGGCAAAGAAGACUACUGGCUGUGGGACCAUUUGAUGAGAAUAUCCUGGCUGUGGGACCAUUUGAUGAGACCGACCCAACGUGCCCGAGGAGAGAUAGAGCUACCGUCGACACCGGGGAAGCGUAGUGUAGAGAGGAGAGAUAGGGAUUCCCUCUCUUUUCCUCUGUCAACACCGGCGUGGAACGCCAGCGCUGCUCACUUCUCGACGAUACGGAGCGGCCCGUAUCAGAUAGGGGCCAUCGGAGCAACAUUCCAGCGCAGCUCACCCUCCCCAAUCUGAAUCAGUGUGGGGGCCGACGACAAGGGAACAACGGUCUUUCUCUUCACACAGCUGAGGGGAGUGUUGGACGUAGUGUAGAGAGGUGAGAUAUCGGGAAUCGAAAUUAUCGUAGACAAACCCACCAAGAUGUGUUCCGGAUGUAUUUCAUAUCACUUAUUUAGAAGUGUCACUGAUGGCAUUUUAUUAGUCACUAUAUUAUAUGUCUUAACAUGCUUUUUUGAAGGCCUUCACCGCUUGCUGCAAUGUCCCAGAUAUUAAUCCUGCAAAUAAAACUAUAUUCAAACCAUUCCUUUUCAAUCAUUCCAAGGACCUGCUACGGAGGAGUGUAGGUUAGAGCUUCAGUGAACAAACUAACUGUUCUAGUAUAGGCAUCAUGGAUCUAAGAGGUUACCUAGUACAAAGAAAUCAAACAUAUCCCGGGAGUUAGUCAUACCAAACUCCUAAAACAUCUCAGCAAAUUCACCAAGUGCACGGAUCCCAGAGGAGAGCUAGCAUAACAGACGUGAUCGGUCUGCCACAUUCCUGGCUACGGGUUAUGCCCAGGGGUGGGGCACCGAGGUAAGAGGGAUAGGCGUCUGAUACAAGGUAGUUAGGGGCUGAGCGAAUCUCCUCACCAACCUGUUACAACCGUUACGGGAUACAGGUUUCACUAGCAUCGCCAUUUAGGGGGUGGUAGAAUUGACGGAUCUGACAACACACACACACACACACACACACACACAAACACACACUACUCGCUGCAAGUGCAACAUAAAAAGAGGUUUGCUGGUUAGCUAGCGACACGUGUCGCACUGGCCACAAAUAAAGAAAACCACCGUCAACUUUACAUUAAAGGAACGUGCUCGACCGUUCGGGAGCUAUACGUUUCAUAAACACAAAAUAAACCACUCGUUUUGUAUAAAAUUAAGAUAAUUAAUAAAAACGAUGGUGGAGCUCAUAACAUAGAUAUAUAUAUACUGAGUGACUAGAUAUUGCAUUCGGCUUCUAAGCAUGCGUUAACAAUGCCGCCAUCUUGCCGGCGGGAACCACCCACCUGAAUGAAUGUCAUGGGGCAGCGGUCUUUUCAGUCUAAAUCACUCUAAAACGCCUUGUCUUAAGGCAAUAUUAAAGGCACAAACACGCUUGACCGACCCGAUUGAAGAUUUCCUUUAAAAAAAAAGGCGUUUUAGAGUGAUUUAGACUGGGAAAGGACUUCUGUCCCAUCGACGUUCAUUCAUUCAGGUGGGUGGUUACCCCGCGGAAAGAUGGCGGCGGCAUUGACGUAUAUGUUCCACUGAACAGCGCAGCUCAGGCGAUGUCUAGUCAGUAUAUAUAUCUAUGAUAACUUGUGCACUUACCAAGGGGACAGUGAGGUCCGACUGCUGUACCCCCGGGGUGCACGACACAAGUCCACAGGGACGUUGCGAUAAGUGACCAUAGUAAAAUGAAUCGACAGGGAUACGUGAUGUGUGACAAUGGCAAAUGGGAUCAUAUUACAUUUUAUAUUAUCAUAAUAUAUCUUAACUCCGUUACAUAUGCAGGAAAAACCCUGAAUGACUUACCUUCAAGAUAAUUUAGCUGCUCAUUCCUCCAUUACACCUGACCACCGUUGUAAUCUUCUUGAGUUUUGGCGGACAACGAAGCGCAUGCGUCCUGUAUGCGCGUCACAAGGCGCAUGCGCGGAUUCAAAACAGGCGACACUAUUAAAACUUACUUGGUAUUUCUAGGUUCAUGUGCAAUGACUAUGAAACCUUUGAAUAUUAUGUGAAAAUACAUAAUAAAACUUACUCUUCCCACACAGUUUAUAUAUCACAUGAAUGACAUAUAUAGUUUUACUUGAAUAAUUCAAGUUCUCACUGAUACUUAUAAUUACAAAAUAAAAAUUGUGACAGUUAACCUAAUUAAUAUUACUACACCAUAAAAUCAUUUUUUUCAGUGUAGCUUCCGAGUUAUGGGACCCAGACACCCCAGACCAAUGUAGACCUGUC